UGUGCUGAUAGAUGAGGAUCUG
rnacentral:siRNA from 1 species